ACAAAAAGAGGUAUUAACAAGUAACUUCUCGUUAAUUUUUAAGUAGAUGGUUACAUAGCUUAUUAAAUGGCAUUAAUAUACAUUCAAGAAUUAAACAAUUAAACGUUAAAAAAUGUCUAAUUAAGUACUGAAUUGUUCUACUGCCUACAUGAUGUGGGGAUUCUGAAAAGGGAGAAAUAAUAGGUAGUGGUUAGAAAACUAGAAGAUUAUCCAAAAAGUAUAACCCUAAAGAGUAGCAUUUGGAGAGGCAAAGAAAAGAAAGACAUGCUAUCUACAAGGAACACUGUAAGCAGAGGAAGAGUUCAAAACUGGUUAACUUGAACUUCCUACCUGCGCUGGAAGGCACUUCCGCUGGCGUGUUGGCUGGAGCGUGCGCACCGGGGG